ACGAACGCUGGCGGCGUGCUUAGCACAUGCAAGUCGAACGGAAAGGCCCUGCUUGCAGGGUACUCGAGUGGCGAACGGGUGAGUAACACGUGGGUGAUCUGCCCUGCACUUCGGGAUAAGCCUGGGAAACUGGGUCUAAUACCGGAUAGGAGCCAUUUUUAGUGUGAUGGUUGGAAAGUUUUUUCGGUGUAGGAUGAGCUCGCGGCCUAUCAGCUUGUUGGUGGGGUAAUGGCCUACCAAGGCGGCGACGGGUAGCCGGCCUGAGAGGGUGGACGGCCACAUUGGGACUGAGAUACGGCCCAGACUCCUACGGGAGGCAGCAGUGGGGAAUAUUGCACAAUGGGCGCAAGCCUGAUGCAGCGACGCCGCGUGGGGGAUGACGGCCUUCGGGUUGUAAACUCCUUUCGCUAGGGACGAAGCUUUUUGUGACGGUACCUAGAUAAGAAGCACCGGCUAACUACGUG
rnacentral:rRNA from 1 species